CAUAGCGACUAUCGUGGCAUAUCAAUAAGCGGAGGAAAAGAAACUAACAAGGAUUCCCUUAGUAACGGCGAGUGAAGCGGGAAGAGCUCAAAUUUGAAAUCUUCAAGGUUCUACCUUGACGAAUUGUAGUUUAUAGAAGUGUUUUCUGUUAGUGGAGUGGCAAAAGUUCUUUGGAAUAGGACAUCAUAGAGGGUGAGAAUCCCGUAUUUGGUCAUUCCUCCUAGCGUUGUGAUACACUUUCAACGAGUCGGAUUGUUUGGGAAUGCAGUCCAAAAUGGGUGGUAAAUUUCAUCUAAAGCUAAAUAUUGGCGAGAGACCGAUAGCGAACAAGUACCGUGAGGGAAAGAUGAAAAGAACUUUGAAAAGAGAGUUAAACAGUACGUGAAAUUGUCAAAAGGGAAGCGUUUGACACCAGUGUUGUUUUUCCGAAAAUCAAUUACGAAUGUUUUGUUUAUGAGGAGUUAUGACUUCAUCGGCUUGCUUCUCUCUUUACGAAACUUUCUUAAUGCACUUUUCGGUUAACAAGUCAACAUCAAUUUCUUUUGUUGUAAAAGGGUACGAGGAAGGUGGCUUUCUUUUCGGAGAAAGUGUUUAUAGCCUUGUACCUCUGCAAUCGGAGAGAUUGAGGUCUGCAGCGUAGAUCCUUCGGGGUUAGAUACAUUUGUGCUAAGUUAUAGCUUUUCAUAGACAACUUGUUGACUAUAUUUAGUCUUGUAGCUUACUCGCUUAUGCUAUUUUACCUACGCUUAGGAUGUUGAUAUGCAUGACUGAUAU
rnacentral:rRNA from 1 species